rnacentral:rRNA from 1 species
CUGGGCCGCACGCGCGCUACACUGAUGAAGUCACACGAGUUCAUAUCCUUUAUCGAAAGAUAUGGGUAAUCUUUUGAAACUUCAUCGUGAUGGGGAUAGAGCAUUGCAAUUAUUGCUCUUCAACGAGGAAUCCCUAGUAAGCACAAGUCAUCAGCUUGUGUUGAUUACGUCCCUGCCCUUUGUACACACCGCCCGUCGCUACUACCGAUUGAAUGGCUUAGUGAGACCCUCGGAUCGGUGAUCAGAAGCUUUAACCGGCAUCUGUUCGCUGAGAAGUUGGUCAAACUUGGUCAUUUAGAGGAAGUAAAGGUCGUAACAAGGUUUCCGUAGGUGAACCUGCGGAAGGAUCAUUA